GUCGUAACAAGGUUUCCGUAGGUGAACCUGCGGAAGAUCAUUAU
rnacentral:rRNA from 1 species